GAAAUGCGAUAAGUAAUGUGAAUUGCAGAAUUCAGUGAAUCAUCGAAUCUUUGAACGCUCCUUGCGCUCCUUGGUAUUCCUUGGAGCAUGCCUGUUUGAGUAUCAUGAAAUCUUCAAAGUAAAUCUUUUGUUAACUCAAUUGGUUUCUACUUUGGUAUUGGAGGUCUUUGCAGCUUCACACCUGCUCCUCUUUGUUCAUUAGCUGGAUCUCAGUGUUAUGCUUGGUUCCACUCGGCGUGAUAAGUUAUCUAUCGCUGAGGACACUGUAAAAGGUGGCCAAGGUAAAUGCAGAUGAACCGCUUCUAAUAGUCCAUUGACUUGGACAAUACUUUUAUGAUCUGAUCUCAAAUCAGGUAGGACUACCCACUGAACUUAAGC
rnacentral:misc_RNA from 1 species